GAUGAACGCUGGCGGCGUACCUAAUACAUGCAAGUCGAGCGAACGGACGAGAAGCUUGCUUCUCUGAUGUUAGCGGCGGACGGGUGAGUAACACGUGGAUAACCUACCUAUAAGACUGGGAUAACUUCGGGAAACCGGAGCUAAUACCGGAUGAUAUUUUGAACCGCAUGGUUCAAAAGUGAAAGACGGUCUUGCUGUCACUUAUAGAUGGAUCCGCGCUGCAUUAGCUAGUUGGUAAGGUAACGGCUUACCAAGGCAACGAUGCAUAGCCGACCUGAGAGGGGGCUCGGCAACCUGGGACUUGAGCCCCGGUCCAGACCCCUAGGGAGGGCAGCGUAGGGAAUUCUUCCGAAGUGGGCAAAGGCCGGACGGGGCAACGCCCGGGAGGUAAGAAAGGUCUUCGGUUCGAAAAACCUUUUUUUUGGGAAAAAAAAAUUUUGAAAGAAACUGGCCCCAUUUUGGCGGUACCAAAACAAAAGCCCCCGGCAAACUCCGU
rnacentral:rRNA from 1 species